AUGUCUGUAUACACGUACAUAUAUUUAAAAUAUAUGUCAAACUUUUACCUUUAAGAAUUCACUAAUCAAUACUGUUGAUUCCUGUACAUUCUUAUAGAUUUUGAGUGUAUCUUGGAUAAAAGAAAAAAACCUCUUCCUUAUGGAAGCCAUUUUAGAACUUCAGGAAUACUGCCAGAAGUGCACAGGGAAUCAAAUACACAAAUAGUUGGAUUAAGUCUGCCACCAGGAGCUGAAAGAAGUAAGUAUUUUUAAAAAUCUUCUAUAGGAUUGCUUUGGAAUUUUUGGAUUCAAAAGCUUUCUGUAGAAACAUCCCUCACUUAAAAGGAAAAUCUGCUACAAAAAAACGACAUUUGGAAAUUUUGGGCUAUCGUGUAAUUCAGAUCCCUCAUUUUGAAUGGAACUCUAUGGCACUGUCAACAAAGGGUGCUCGGAUUGACUACCUGAGAGACCGUGUAUUUGGAGAAAGCAAAUCAUGAUUUUAGUUUUUAUUUAAAAUUAGCUAUCAUGGUGUGGCACAUAUGAACUUAAUUUUAAGUGGCCUGACUCAAUUAAAAAAUAAUAGCAUAGAACUGACUCAUUUUAAGGUAAAUUACAUACCUAUUAAAAUAAAUAGACAUUUUAUAAUGGAA